rnacentral:rRNA from 1 species
CCAUGCCGAACUCAGAAGUGAAACGCCGUAGCGCCGAUGGUAGUGUGGGGUCUCCCCAUGUGAGAGUAGGGAACUGCCAGGC